rnacentral:piRNA from 1 species
UGAGGGCAAAUGAUGCUUGGGCACU